GCAUAUCAUAGCGGAGGAAAAGAAACCAACAGGGAUUGCCCUAGUAACGGCGAAGUGAAGCGGCAACAGCUCAAAUUUGAAAUCUGGCUUCGGCCCGAGUUGUAAUUUGUAGAGGAUGCUUUGGGCGCGGCUCUAACUGAGUUCCCUGGAACGGGACGCCACAGAGGGUGAGAGCCCCGUAUAGUUAGAUGCCUAGCCUAUGUAAAGCUCCUUCGACGAGUCGAGUAGUUUGGGAAUGCUGCUCUAAAUGGGAGGUAAAUUUCUUCUAAAGCUAAAUAUUGGCCAGAGACCGAUAGCGCACAAGUAGAGUGAUCGAAAGAUGAAAAGCACUUUGAAAAGAGGGUUAAAUAGCACGUGAAAUUGUUGAAAGGGAAGCGCUUGUGACCAGACUUGCGCCGGGCAGAUCAUCCGGUGUUCUCACCGGUGCACUCUGCCCGGCUCAGGCCAGCAUCGGUUCUCGUGGGGGGAUAAAGGUCCCGGGAACGUAGCUCCUCCGGGAGUGUUAUAGCCCGGGGCGUAAUGCCCUCGUGGGGACCGAGGUUCGCGCAUCUGCAAGGAUGCUGGCGUAAUGGUCAUCAGCGACCCGUCUUGAAACACGGACCAAGGAGUCAAGGUUUUGCGCGAGUGUUUGGGUGUAAAACCCGCACGCGUAAUGAAAGUGAACGUAGGUGAGAGCUUCGGCGCAUCAUCGACCGAUCCUGAUGUAUUCGGAUGGAUUUGAGUAAGAGCGUUAAGCCUUGGACCCGAAAGAUGGUGAACUAUGCUUGGAUAGGGUGAAGCCAGAGGAAACUCUGGUGGAGGCUCGCAGCGGUUCUGACGUGCAAAUCGAUCGUCAAAUCUGAGCAUGGGGGCGAAAGACUAAUCGAACCAUCUAGUAGCUGGUUACCGC
rnacentral:rRNA from 1 species